rnacentral:rRNA from 1 species
CCUACGGGAGGCAGCAGUGAGGAAUAUUGGUCAAUGGGCGCGAGCCUGAACCAGCCACGUAGCGUGAAGGAUGACUGCCCUACGGGUUGUAAACUUCUUUUAUAAAGGAAUAAAGUGAGGCACGUGUGCCUUUUUGUAUGUACCUUAUGAUUACGGAUCGGCUAAAUCCGUGCCAGCAGCCGCGGUAAUACGGAGGGUCCGUGCGUUAUCCGGAUUUAUUGGGUUUAAAGGGUGCGUAGAUGGGUUGUUAAGUCAGUUGUGAAAGUUUGGGGCUCAACCGGAAAAGUGCAAUUGAUACUGGCAGUCGGGAGUACAGUAGAGGUAGGCGGAAUUCGUGGUGUAGCGGUGAAAUGCAUAGAUAUCACGAAGAACACCGAUUGCGAAGGCAGCUUACUAAACUGCAACUGACAUUGAGGCACGAAAGUGUGGGUAUCAAACAGGAUUAGAUACACCAGUAGUC